CCCUGCCCUCUCGAGCCUGCUCAACCUAUACGCCGCUUCCCUGAAUCCCGAUCCCCUCCUGUGUGCCCGCCGCUGCGAGCGUCCACCAUCACGAGCGCCCCCGAACCCUCCAUGCGCCGUAGCCCUGCCUCCGCCUUCCGCCGUGUCGCCGUCACCGGCAUCGCGCCCGCCUCCUCUGUGACCCCGUGUAGCACCCCAGCUCCCCGUCCACCUUCGCUCCUCCCUGCCCCCGCCCCCCUGCGCCAUUGUGCCGAUUGUUGAGCCCCGCCUCUGCGGGUCGGUGUUGGUGUCGGGGAUCCGUUCUGCACGCUGCUUGUUCGCCUUGGUUCGGUGUCGGGGAAGGAUUUUUCCUUAACCUCCUCUGCACCGCCACUAAUCCACUACCACGCCACCUGACCCAUCUCUCUCUCUGUCCAUGGUGAGGUAAUGGUCGACGGUGGCGACGCGAGUGGCCUAAGCAGGCAGCGCGGAAGCUGACGAGGACGUGCUGCGGCAGUGCGCUGGACGGGGACGUCUAGUGCCUCCAGCGCUCGAGGAAUAUCAAGGGCCUCAAGGCGUUGUACAAGCUGUUUAACAAGAUAAUCAGUGCCAUAAGGGAUGACAAGCUGAUUAUUAAGGAGGAGUUUCAGUUGGAGCUGUUUAAGGCAGCAGGAGGAUAGCAUGUUCACUGACCGUUGAUACAAUUGUGUAUUCAAUGGAGCCUCACCUAAUGUGCAGCUGGUCCUUAAGCGAACAAUGGAGGAAGGACAUCUCUGAAUUUUGGUGGGAGCUAGGAGGUUGGUGCAGGUUGAAGUUGCUGUCAACUAAGAAUUAGCAGAUGGAGUGGCAAGUUCUCAUCUUGUGAUGGUGACGAUGAGUACCAGAAGUUUGGGGAACACUGCAUCGUACAAUUUGCGGAACAAUCCAUUUUAUACAUCUUUGAAUGCCAGUCAAUUUUGUCAAUCUUACCUAUAGAGUGCCAUAGUCCAUGGGAGAUCACAGCGAGUACGUGUACUGGUUGCUCGAGAUCGAGGAAGAUGAGCAGAGAAUUGGCAUUCUUUAUGGAGGCAAACAGCCGCCGAGAGAGAGAUGUUUACAUUAGCAUAGAAAAAUAUGAAAAAGAGGGUGGAGGGAGAACAGAGCUAUUCCAGGGACUGCAGCUAGGAUUCGAAAGGGCCUCGUCCUCUGCAACUCAAAUUCAGGCAAUACAUUUGUCGCGUCAAGUUAUAUUGGAAGAGGUGGUAGAGCAUCUAGGAGGGCUGCCACCCAUUUACAAUUCGAGCCAACGAUACGGAGAAUGGCAAGCGUGCACGGCGUAUACCCAAUCUUAUUGAAUCGUAUUGAACCUGGCAGAUUAGAUGAAGCAUCUAUAUAUAGCCAGAGACCUUCAACCACUCCUAAAGCUGCUGAAGAGAAAACAACAGAGAGCCUCAUAGCUUCUUUGUGCAGCAAAAAGGAAUUUGAGAUCAAUGAUAUACACGCUACAUGUACAGCAACAUGACAUAGUUGCAUCUGCAAGAAAAUAGAUCCUCAAAGGAAAGGGAAAAUGUGACGAUGAGUACCAGAACUAUAUCACACCAAUGGUGUCGACGUACCUCCCUCAUACGCGGUCUCCGACAUCAUCUUGCACUAUCUCAAGCAGUGUUGCUAGGAAGGAGCUGAAUGGAAGUGAAUUAGCUUUUCACUUCUUGCCGUGUAUUGCUACUAUGAUUUUCACCUUUUUGCUAGCUGUUGGUUGGUCUGUAAAGUAUAUAUACUCUCUUUCCAUCAACAACACAACAUGAACCAUAUAGAACCAUUGAUUCACUUGGCCCAAGCCAUUAUAUAUAUCAUACCUUUGGAGCA